UUUAAUGACUCUCGGCAACGGAUAUCUCGGCUCUCGCAUCGAUGAAGAACGUAGCGAAAUGCGAUACUUGGUGUGAAUUGCAGAAUCCCGUGAACCAUCGAGUCUUUGAACGCAAGUUGCGCCCGAAGCCAUUUGGUUGAGGGCACGUCUGCCUGGGCGUCACGU
rnacentral:rRNA from 3 species